CGGAGUGUAGCUCAGCCUGGUAGAGCACUGUCUUCGGGAGGCAGGGGUCGUAGGUUCGAAUCCUGCCACUCCGA
rfam:Roseivivax isoporae LMG 25204 contig49, whole genome shotgun sequence.